rnacentral:rRNA from 1 species
UCGGUGUCUAACUGGCAUGCACGUGCUGACGUCCUGCCGGUGGCCCGAGCCGGCGGUCGAAGUCGAGCCGUUCCGGCGUUCGCGCGUCGGGCGGCGAGGCCCGGCCGUCUGGGGAAGGCCUGCUCUAACCCGUCGCGGUGCUCUUAGCUGAGUGUCUCGAUGGGCCGGCACGUUUACUUUGAACAAAUUAGAGUGCUUAAAGCAGGCAGCAGCCGCCUGAAUACUGAGUGCAUGGAAUAAUGGAAUAGGACCUCGGUUCUAUUUUGUUGGUUUUAGGAAUGCCCGAGGUAAUGAUCAAUAGGGACAGACGGGGGCAUUCGUAUUGCGACGUUAGAGGUGAAAUUCUUGGAUCGUCGCAAGACGGACCGAAGCGAAAGCAUUUGCCAAGAAUGUUUUCUCUGAUCAAGAACGAAAGUUAGAGGUUCGAAGGCGAUCAGAUACCGCCCUAGUUCUAACCAUAAACGAUGCCAGCCAGCAAUCCGCCGAAGUUCCUCCGAUGACUCGGCGGGCGACUUCCGGGAAACCAAAGCUUUUGGGUUCCGGGGGAAGUAUGGUUGCAAAGCUGAAACUUAAAGGAAUUGACGGAAGGGCACCACCAGGAGUGGAGCCUGCGGCUUAAUUUGACUCAACACGGGAAACCUCACCAGGCCCGGACACCGGGAGGAUUGACAGAUUGAUAGCUCUUUCUUGAUUCGGUGGGUGGUGGUGCAUGGCCGUUCUUAGUUGGUGGAGCGAUUUGUCUGGUUAAUUCCGAUAACGAACGAGACUCUAGCCUGCUAACUAGUCGCUUCCGACAUCCUUUGCGCUGUCGGCGACACAUAAUCUUCUUAGAGGGACAGGCGG